UCCCUACGGGGUGCAGCAGGCGCGAAAACUNUGCAAUGCACGAAAGUGUGACAGGGGGACUCAAAGUGCUCAUACACUGUAUGGGCUUUUGCCAACUCAAAAUUUGUUGGCGAAUAAGUGGUGGGAAAGGCUGGUGCCAGCCGCCGCGGUAACACCAGCGCCACAAGUGGGAAUCACUAUUACUGGGCCUAAAGCGUCCGUAGCAGGUCUUAAUAAUUGCUUGUGAAAUUGCAUAACUCAACUAUGCGAAUUGCAGGCAACACUAUAAGACUAGAGACCGGGAGAUGUUGGAGGUAUUCAAAGGGGAGCGGUAAAAUGCGAGAAUCCUUUGAGGACCACCUGUUGCGAAGGCGUCCAACAAUAACGGGUCUGACUGUGAGGGUCGAAAGCUAGGGGAGCGAACCGGAUUAGAUACCCGAGUAGUCCUAGCCCUAAACGCUGCGAGCUAGGUGUUGCAUAAUCUUCAGGAUUAUGCAGUAUCGUAGAGAAGUCGUUAAGCUCGCCGCCUGGGAAGUACGGCCGCAAGACUGAAACUUAAAGGAAUUGGCGGGGGAGCACUACAAGGGGUGCGGCGUGCGGUUUAAUCGAAUUCAACGCCGAGAAUCUCACCUGAGGCGACGGUAGGAUGAAAGACAGUCUAAAGGGCUUUCUUGACGAGCCGAGAGGAAGUGCAUGGCCA
rnacentral:rRNA from 1 species